rnacentral:rRNA from 1 species
GUGGGGAAUAUUGGACAAUGGGCGCAAGCCUGAUCCAGCAAUGCCGCGUGGGUGAAGAAGGUCUUCGGAUCGUAAAGCCCUUUCGACAGGGACGAUGAUGACGGUACCUGUAGAAGAAGCCCCGGCUAACUUCGUGCCAGCAGCCGCGGUAAUACGAAGGGGGCUAGCGUUACUCGGAAUUACUGGGCGUAAAGGGCGCGUAGGCGGCUCUGUUAGUCAGGCGUGAAAUUCCUGGGCUUAACCUGGGGACUGCGCUUGAUACUGCGGAGCUUGAGGCCGAGAGAGGGUGGUGGAAUUCCCAGUGUAGAGGUGAAAUUCGUAGAUAUUGGGAAGAACACCGGUGGCGAAGGCGACCACCUGGCUCGGUACUGACGCUGAGGCGCGAAAGCGUGGGGAGCAAACAGGAUUAGAUACCCUGGUAGUCC